rnacentral:misc_RNA from 1 species
UUUCCGUAGGUGAACCUGCGGAAGGAUCAUUCAUAAUAAGUGUUUUAUGGCACUUUUUUAAAUCCAUAUCCACCUUGUGUGCAAUGUCAGGGUUGAUUUUUCUUUCGAGAGGAUCAGCCCCAAACAUCAACUAUAUCUCAACUCUUUGUCUGAAAAAUAUUAUGAAUAAAACAAUUCAAAAUACAACUUUCAACAACGGAUCUCUUGGCUCUC